GCAUGUGAAUUUUUUGUUUUUACACCGUUAUUAAGUAAAAUUCAACAAUUUCUUGGAGGUUUUAUCAUGAAUCAAGGUACAGUAAAAUGGUUUAAUGCAGAAAAAGGAUUUGGCUUCAUCGAAGUAGAAGGCGGCGAAGACGUAUUCGUACACUUCUCAGCUAUCACUGGCGACGGCUUCAAAUCUCUUGAAGAAGGUCAAAAAGUAAGCUUUGACAUCACUCAAGGCAACCGUGGCGACCAAGCUGCUAACGUUGUAAAAUUAUAAUUUUACGAUCAGACUCCUGACACAUUAGUGUCAGGAGUUUUU
rnacentral:other from 1 species